AUUGCUUAGCUAACCAAUAAAAAUACAAAAGGAAGAAGAAAAAUGGGACAUGCACACACACAAGCAUAAAAGAAAGGAAAAACAUAGGUUUCUGCCAAGUUACUGCACUAUACCGUUCCCACCCCUGGAGCAGAGCCAACUUAAGGCUUGUUUAUAUAAUAAUGUACAUAAUUCACUUUAUGUUCCUCCUUCAGGAGAUGUUCUCCCUGCUAAGGUAAAUGACUCCAUGAUAAUAUAAACAACAACAGUCUGGAAGGUGAGGGUGUGUCUAAUGUCCUUAGCAAAAUGGUAACCACUGUGACCUUUAGGACAGUCCUUAAGUCUGUAGGAAAGAACUCUGAAGAAAACAUGAAUGAGAUAUAGAUAGAUAGAUAGAUAGAUAGAUAGAUAGAUAGAUAUGAUUUCUCAAUUAUGCAAAAUAUAAGGAUGCAAUAUGAAUUAUAUGAGGGGCUUCACAAACCUAAAAUAACAGAGGCAGCUGCACUCUGAGCCAGCUUGUCAGAAAGAUAUUAAGGAGAUGAAGAAAUUUGGGGAGUGGUGAUAGCAUGGCAAGAUCCCACUCAGCUAAGUUUAUUGUUUGUGCUUACAAAGGCAGGCAGAUUCCUGAGUUCAAGGUCAGCCUGGGACAGAGCUAGUUUAGGCCCAGCGGGGUAGGAAUGGUGAUCUCAGAGUUGGAUCCCACCCAGCUAGUUUAUUGUCUAUGCUUACAAAGGCAGGAAGAUCCCUGAGUUCAUUGCUAUGUUUUAAAAAAAAUAAUGUACCUGCUGUCUUUCUAAGAAUCAAGGGGAUAGGGACAUAAAGUGUUGAUUCAUGGGAUAAUCAAAAGGGAAACUGGGGUGGACUAUUGAAUUAAUACAUAAAUAAAAGCCCAUACAUGGGCUUUGGUCUGCAAGAGAUAGCUACCCAGAGAGAUCUGCUUGGAGAGCGAACACAGCUCUUUUAGAAUUUUUUUUCUAGCAAGAACAGAGCUAUCUGGAGAGCUGUCUCAAGCAAAACAUGAGGCUGUCAGCUUGCACCCCCACCUCACUGAACUCAGGUCCUCUUGCUUAACCUCUGAACCACCUCUCCAGGUUUCACCGAAGUUGCCCAGGUAAAUUUGUACUUGGUAAUCCUCCUGCCUCAGGAUCCAGAGGAGCCAGGAUUACAGGCCUGUACCACCAAGAUUAUCUUAAUUUGGUCACAUUCGAUGCUACCUAAAAUUAGGGAGAGCCCAUGGUUAAGGCCAAAUACGGAUCCCUUUACCCCUUCUUCACCAUGGUCGUCAUUUUCUUGUCCCUGCGGAGACUUCCUGUGGUUGCUUUCCUUUCUCCUUCCCGCCCCAGCUGUCUCCUUUUGGAUGGCAACAUCCAGUUUAUCUUGAUUUUGUUGAAUGGAUCCUGGUGGCCCAGGGGACCAGUGUUAGGUGGGUGAUCAGUAAAAGCCACAUCUCCCUGCCUUUACUCUCUCUCCCCAGAAAAGCAUUGAGGGCUAAAUGGCUUCCUGAUAUGUGAUCCCUGGUGGGAUCCAGCAUGAGGUCACUUACAAAGGACAGAGGGACAUCCUCAGGAGAGGGCAUUGCUGACUUUGCUCAUGUUUGGGUUCCUUCCUGUGUGGGGUGUCCCCAAGGUCACCUUCUUGGGCCCACGCAUGUCCCAGGCUUAACCCACGGCUGCUUAUGUUUCAUGCCGUGGGCCUGGCCCAGCAUCUUUCAGCACAAGCCAAUAACCACUGUCACAGCAGUCAUGACAUGGGUGCCCUAACAAAUGGAGUGGCUGUGAGUCUCCAGCUGCCUGGCCUCCACCCAGUGUUAUUGAUUAAGAUGUAUAGUGGGUCAUCCAAUAGACCAGACCAAGAGCCAUACAACUGAAUAGAAACCAAGCAAGCAGAGAGCCCCACACAGACUGGAUUGCCUCACUGCCAGCAUGUCAGAGCAGCUCUCCAGAGAGGAUGCCUCUGAGCUGUCGUGAUAAACAGUCCCUUACUUUACCCUGGCCUGAUUUAAGCAGUUGCCUUGCUGUUGUUCUGUUUCCUGUUCCUGCCCGAGCUGUGUUACAAAGCCUCACUAGUAAGUGGAACAUCCUCUAUUGGAGCACAUUGCUGCCUGCUUGAUGCAGCAUUAUUAAAGCCAAUUAGGUCUGUGUGCUGGUUGGUAUAUGCUUGGUCCCAGGAAAGGCACUAUUAGGAGGUAUGGUCUUGUUGGAGUAGGUGUAGCCUUGUUGGAGGAAAUAUGUCAUUAGGGGGGACCCUCCUCCUAGCUGCCUGGAAGCCAAUUUCUCCUGUCUGCCUUCAGAACAAGAUAUAGAACUCUCAGCAUCUCCAGUGCCAUGUCUGCCCAUGCUUCCUGCCAUGAUGAUAAACAACUGAACC
rnacentral:lncRNA from 1 species